UGCAGUUUGUUGCUGCUUGCGAGACGAAUGUGAAGAUUUUGCCAACCCAAACAGCUCAAUUUAUAGGAACUGUAUAUGCUUUCCAACUCUUAUUCAGAACUUCUUGCAUGUGUAUGCAUCACUUUUCCAUAGAGGAGAAAGACAUGUCAUUCCUUCAUCGGAUCAAGGUGCAGCAUCUUUGAGUUCUACAGCCACUCUUGAUGACUCACUAUCUGACAUGUACCGUUCUCCUCCGAGACCACUGCCAUAUGAUGCUGAUCCAAGAUAUUUCCGCUUGCAACAAGAUGGACAAGUCUCAAGAAGGGAGAAAGGCUCGAGCCACUCACAAGAGGAAACUGAACCACUACAAAGAAGUUUUAAUGACCCUG
rnacentral:misc_RNA from 1 species